CUGAAUGGCCUCUAGGCCUUCAACCUUGCAAACCUGUGGAAGCAAGACGUGCUUCGGCGCUUCGGCGUCGCUUUUAUGCCUUAAUCAGUCUAUGUGUGAAUUAAAUACAAGAAAUA
rnacentral:misc_RNA from 1 species